rfam:Schistosoma mattheei strain Denwood, Zambia genome assembly, scaffold: SMTD_scaffold0010636
GUAUACAUCGAUGCCAUUGUAAUGGCGCACCGGUUCUCCUCCGACCACCGCAGUUAAGCAACGUUGGGCCCGAUCAGUACUUGCAUGGGUGACAGGCUGGGAAUACCGGUUGUCACC